rnacentral:rRNA from 1 species
AUUGAACGCUGGCGGCAGGCCUAACACAUGCAAGUCGAACGAGUGGCGCACGGGUGAGUAAUGUCUGUGAAACUGCCUGAUGGAGGGGGAUAACUACUGGAAACGGUAGCUAAUACCGCAUACCAUCGGAUGUGCCCAGAUGGGACUAGCUAGUAGGUGGGGUAAAGGCUCACCUAGCCGACGAUCUCUAGCUGGUCUGAGAGGAAGACCAGCCACACUGGAACUGAGACAAGGUCCAGACUCCGACGGGAGGCAGCAGUGGGGAAUAUUGCACAAUGGGCGCAAGCCUGAUGCAGCCAUGCCGAGUGUAUGAAGAAGGCCUUCGGGUUGUGAAGUACUUUCAGCGGGGAGGCGUUACCCGCAGAAGAAGCACCGGCUAACUCCGUGCCAGCCGCAGCGGUAAUUC